rnacentral:rRNA from 1 species
UACGGAGGAUGCAAGCGUUAUCCGGAAUGAUUGGGCGUAAAGCGUCCGCAGGUGGUGGUGUGUGUCUAUUGUCAAAGCGUCAUGCUUAACAUGAUAUAGGCAGUAGAAACUACACAACUAGAGUGCGUUCGGGGCAGAGGGAAUUCCUGGUGUAGCGGUGAAAUGCGUAGAGAUCGGAAGGAACACCAGUGGCGAAGGCGACUUACUGGACUGAUACUGACACUGAGGCACGAAAGCGUGGGGAGCGAACAGG